rnacentral:rRNA from 1 species
CUAUGCGCCUUGCCAGCCCGCUCAGAAACUCAAAGGAAUUGACGGGCCCCGCACAAGCAGCGGAGCGUGUGGUUUAAUUCGAUGCUACACGAAGAACCUUACCAGGGUUUGACAUACAAGUAGUAGGGAAAGGAAACUGGACCGACCCUUCGGGGAGCUUGAACAGGUGCUGCAUGGCUGUCGUCAGCUCGUGUCGUGAGAUGUUCGGUUAAGUCCGCUAACGAGCGCAACCCUCGCUGUGUGUUACAAGUGUCACACGGAACUGCCGGUCAUAAACCGGAGGAAGGUGGGGAUGACGUCAAGUCAGCAUGGCCUUUAUAUCCUGGGCUACACACACGCUACAAUGGGAAGGGACAAUAGGUUGCGAAGCCGCGAGGCGGAGCCAAUCCAGCAAAACUUCCCUCAGUUCAGAUUGCAGGCUGCAACUCGCCUGCAUGAAGUUGGAGUUGCUAGUAAACGCAGGUCAGCCAUACUGCGUUGAAUACGUUCCCGGGGCUU